AGUCUGCCUCCCUCGGCGGGCCGGGUCUCCAGGGAGGACCUGAUUUUUCUUCACCCAUAGUUAGGGAGGCGCAAUCGCCCUGGCUUUGGGGCUGGGGCCUCCGGGGAGGUUCCGGUAGGGGCGUUGGAGAGGCCGCUCUUUUUGCAAGGCCCGAGACGGCGGGCCCUGCGCAGGCCGCCCUAUUCCGCGCCCUCAGGGCGUCAGUAUCCGCCUGAGGCCGGAUACCCCAGCUGGGCCCGGAUGCCGUCGAUGGGCCCGGAGCAUCCUCGGCGCUGCCCUCCCAGAGCCCCGCAGAGGCUGAGGUGGCGCGGGGGGCGGGCCCGGCUCCGCGAGAAGCAGCGGCAGCGAGGGCUGGAGGACCCGGGCUACGGGGCUCUGGGGCGUCUGGCCUGGGUGGGACUGAGCCCAUUCGGGGGGACUCCGGGGUUCUGGUGUAGGUAGAUCCGGGGCAGGCUCAGGACCAAGUCCCUCUCCUUCCACCAAGGAGCGCCCAGAGGCCGGCGGGAGCUCCAGGUUCACCUCCUCCUCCUCCAGGGUUAUUUCAAGUCCCAAAAAGCAAGGAUGAACAUCUAGAACGAGAAGAAAAACAAUCUGGAGGAAAUCCCACUUCCAACUGGAUGUCUGGAUGAACUACUGAAAGCUGCUGAGUGUCCUGCAGCAGGUGAGCUGUGGCCAGAGCCCAAGGAUGAAGGGGGCUCCCUCACUCUGUUACUGUGAAGAGGAAGCCUGAGGUGUAGCAGGCCCAGGCCCCAGAAGUAUGGAAAAAAAUGAGGUAGGGAGGGAGGGGACCUCAGGAGAAGACUGAGGUCUACAGAAUCCCAGGGUCAAGGGGAUGGUGCAGUGUUCUGGCACUAUCCUUGAUGUUCCAAGAGGGGUGAGAAUCCAUCUCCUGAGUAAAAACUUCACAUGGGGUGAGGAGGGGAGAAGAGAACAGAAAGGAAGCAGGGAAGGCCAAGACAGCCACCAGCCUUACAGCAAUUUUAACCAGAAAUGGACACAGACCCUGGACCCCAUCACAGGAGUGCAGGCCUAGGACUGUCUCCAGGUGAUGCAUAGCUCCCUUGUCAGGUUAGUGGGUUCAGGGAUUGUGACGUCUGCAGGGGUGUGGAAGGCUGGGCAAUGGGAGCAGCUUACUGGGCUGGACCAGAAAUACUGAACUUCUUUUCCAUCAGUGAAAUCCACUUCUGGGUCAGAAAAAACUGUGAGUUCUAGAGGGGCAGGGCCUAGGAGGAGGUCAGGUCCUGAGCCUUCCUGGUUUGACCCCCUCCCACCCCCUGUGUUUCUGGGUCUGUCCUCACUUCCACCCAGCGGAUCCUGAGUCUCUUCCUUUGAGUCCCUGUGAGUGUGUUGUGUGCAGUGGGGCCGGGCUGCUUCAUCCACUGCACGUUAAAUGUUUCCAACACUUUCCGGCCAAAGCUUAGAGUUGUCAGACCACCGACUUUGAAUGUUGACCUGGUUCCUUGUGGAACAGAGUAAUAGCUAUUGAAGUUUAAAGUCACUUUCCUGCGUGGAUGGUGAAGAGGCAGGCUGUUCAGGCAUAACUGCCCUCAGGCCUGGAGGGCUGUGGAGGUCACCGUUGGCGGUGGGUGGAUCUGGAACCUCUGUGGCUCUAGACUUUCAACUAUUUCAUUUUUUCUUUUGUAGUUUUUGUUUGUUGCUUGCUUUUUUACAAUGGGAACUAGAAUGUAAGAUGCCAAACUCAGCCUGUGGGGAACAUGGAUUUUCACAACAGCAACCACAGAGCGUGGUUUCCAUUUCUAUUCCCUGUUCAUGUGGGAGGCAGAGAAGGAAAUCAGGUGCUCAGUUCCAGGGACAUCACAGGACUAGGACAUGUGCAGUGAGGGUGGAAGGCAGAGGCAUUGCUUUAGGAGAAUAAAAUUACUGCAUGCACACACAUAUGUAUGUAUAUGGAUGUAUGUACACAAACAUGCAUAUUUAUAGAUUCUGUUCUCUCUCUCUAUAUACAAUUUUCUUUAUUUCACACUUGAUAUGAUUUCUAAAUUUAAAUACCUUUGAGACAAACGUGAAUUGUGAUGGGAUUUAAAAAUGUCAGUGAAAAAUGGAAUUAACAAUAAAAAUAUAAAUAUAAACUUUAUUUCUCAAUUUAAGCUCUACUGAGGUCCAGACACUCCAUUAAGCGAUGAUCCCAGCCAUUCAUUCCAUUGCUAAAGAACUGAGGGUAAUGGGAAUUUAACCGUGUCAAUGCAGUCUUCUAUUAUUAACUAAAGAAAAAUGGGUGCCCUUUACAGUUAUUUUAAGAUUAGGGAAAAAAUGUCAGAAGAAACCAAAUCAGGACUGUAAUGUUGAUGCCUAAUAAUUUCCCAUGAAAACUCUUGCAAAAUUACCCAUGUUUGAUGAGAGGAAGGAACAGAAGUGUUGUUGUGGUGCAGAGGGACUCUCUAGUGAAGCUUUACAGGGCGCUUUUCUGCAAAAGUAUUUGCUAAUUUUCUCUAAGAACUCUCCUAGUAAGCAGAUGUUAUGGUGCUUUGAUCUUACAGAAAGUCAACCAGCAAAAUGCCUUGAGCAUCCCCAAAACCUCCAUGGCUUUUGCUUUUGAGAAGUUUGCUUUUGCUUUGACUGGACCACUUCUACCUCUUGGUAGCCAUUGCUUGAAUUGUGCUUUGUCUUCAGGAUCUUAUUGAUAAAGCCAGUUUCACUCCCUGUUAUAAUUCUUCAAAAUAAUGCUUCAGGAUCUGAUUCCGCUUGCUCAAAAUAGUUACUAAUAGCUCUGCUUUUGUCCACUGCUGAUCUAGGCACAAGGGUAUUUGGGACUCAUCAAAUGUAAAAUUUCUCAACUUUCACGUUAUAGUCAGUAUUGUGUAAGCUGAACCAAUUGAGAUGCCUGUGGUGUUGGCUAUAGUAUCUCUUGCUAAUUGUCAAUCCUCCUCAAUUAGGGCAUAGAAACGAUUUUUUUUCUCAAAAAUUGGUAUGGAUGUCCCUCCUCUGUUGACUUCAUCUUCAACAUUGUAUUAUCUCUUCUUAGAAUAAGGUAUCCAUUUGUAAAUGACUGAUUCUUCAGGUUAUUUUUCCCGUACACUUUUCAUAAAGAAUAAUUUAUUUCACCAUUUUUUGUACCCCAGCUUCACCGUAAAUUUGAUGUUUGUUCUUGCUUCAGGUUUGACAGAAUUCAUGUUGCUGCCAUAGAGGGGCUCUUUUCAAACUGAUGUCUUAAAUCUUGUUCAGAUAUGUUAAAACAGGGCCAGGCACGGUGGCUUACGCCUGUAAUCCCUGCAUUUUGGAAUUUU
rnacentral:lncRNA from 1 species